rnacentral:rRNA from 1 species
GUCAUCCUACGGGGCGCAGCAGUGGGGAAUAUUGGGCAAUGGGCGCAAGCCUGACCCAGCAACGCCGCGUGAAGGAAGAAGGCUUUCGGGUUGUAAACUUCUUUUCUCAGGGACGAAGCAAGUGACGGUACCUGACGAAUAAGCCACGGCUAACUACGUGCCAGCAGCCGCGGUAAUACGUAGGUGGCAAGCGUUAUCCGGAUUUAUUGGGUGUAAAGGGCGUGUAGGCGGGGAUGCAAGUCAGAUGUGAAAACUAUGGGCUCAACCCAUGGCCUGCUUUUGACACUGUAUUUCUUGAGUGUUGG